rnacentral:tRNA from 1 species
GGAGAAGUGGCUCAGCGGCUACAGCACACGCUUGGAAAGCGUGCGUGCGAAAGCACUCGCGGGUUCGAGUCCCGCCUUCUCCG